UUUGUUCAUUCUUUCGAAUAAGUUCACUUUUUCGGUGAAUUGUUGUUUGAUUAUGAUUCAAGCUUCUCUUGUGAAAGAGAGAUUUGUUUGUUGAAAUAGGCAAAAUGCCAAAAGUUAAUUAUCGCGGGACUCAAAUGAUCAAACAAGCGUUAAACUCGAAAGAUCACUCGAUAACCACUCCUCGCUCGCUUUUACAAGCUCGGAGAUGGUUGGAGGUGUGGUAAUGAUCCUUCCGCAGGUUCACCUACGGAAA
rnacentral:misc_RNA from 1 species